CCUACGGGUGGCAGCAGUGAGGAAUAUUGGUCAAUGGGCGCGAGCCUGAACCAGCCAAGUAGCGUGAAGGAUGACUGCCCUACGGGUUGUAAACUUCUUUUAUAAAGGAAUAAAGUGAGGCACGUGUGCCUUUUUGUAUGUACUUUAUGAAUAAGGAACGGCUAACUCCGUGCCAGCAGCCGCGGUAAUACGGAGGUUCCGAGCGUUAUCCGGAUUUAUUGGGUUUAAAGGGAUCGUAGAUGGGGUGUUAAGUCAGUUGUGAAAGCUUGCGGCUCAACCGUAAAAUUGCAAUUGAUACUGGCAGUCUUGAGUACAGUUGAGGUUGGUGGAAUUCGUGGUGUAGCGGUGAAAUGCUUAGAUAUCACGAAGAACUCCGAUUGCGAAGGCAGCUUACUAACCUGCCACUGACAUUGAUGCUCGAAAGUGUGGGUAUCAAACAGGAUUAGAUACCCGGGUAGUC
rnacentral:rRNA from 1 species